rnacentral:rRNA from 1 species
UAGGGAAUCUUCGGCAAUGGGGGGAACCCUGACCGAGCAACGCCGCGUGAGUGAAGAAGGUUUUCGGAUCGUAAAGCUCUGUUGUUAAGGAAGAACGAGUGUGAGAAUGGAAAGUUCAUGCUGUGACGGUACUUAACCAGAAAGGGACGGCUAACUACGUGGCAGCAGCCGCGGUAAUACGUAGGUCCCGAGCGUUGUCCGGAUUUAUUGGGCGUAAAGCGAGCGCAGGCGGUUAGAUAAGUCUGAAGUUAAAGGCAGUGGCUCAACCAUUGUAGGCUUUGGAAACUGUUUAACUUGAGUGCAGAAGGGGAGAGUGGAAUUCCAUGUGUAGCGGUGAAAUGCGUAGAUAUAUGGAGGAACACCGGUGGCGAAAGCGGCUCUCUGGUCUGUAACUGACGCUGAGGCUCGAAAGCGUGGGGAGCGAACAGG